GAUGAACGCUGGCGGUGUGCCUUAGGCAUGCAAGUCGAACGAGAUCUCCACUUCGGUGGAGUGACAGUGGCAGACGGGUGAGUAACACGUAGGAAUGUACCCAGUAGUGGGGGAUAGCCCACCGAAAGGUGGGGUAAUACCGCAUGCGAUCGCAAGAUCAAAGACUUCGGUCGCUAUUGGAGCAGCCUGCGCGCUAUCAGUUAGUUGGUGGGGUAAUGGCCUACCAAGACGACGACGGCUAGCCGAUGUGAGAGCAUGAUCGGCCACAAGGUUACCGAGACACGGAACCUACACCUACGGGUGGCAGCAACCGGGAAUAUUGCGCAAUGGACGAAAGUCUGACGCAGCGACACCGCGUGUGGGAAGACGCUCUUCGGAGUGUAAACCACUGUGGCGAGGGAGGAAGUUCUGACCGUACCUCGCUAGAAAGCACCAGCUAACUACGUGCCAGAAGCUUCGGUAAUACGUAGGGUGCAAGCGUUAUCCGGAUUUACUGGGCGUAAAGGGUCCGUCGGCGACCCUGUAGGUCGAUUGUUUAAGCCUGAGGCUCAACUUCAGAAAGGCAAUCGAAACCGCGGGGAUAGAGUACAUUCGAGGAAGCUGGAAUUCUUGGUGGAGGGGUGAAAUCCGUAGAUAUCAAGAGGAACACCAUGCGCGAAGGCAGGCUUCUAGGAUGUUACUGACGCUCAGGGACGAAAGCUUGGGUAGCAAAAGGGAUUAGAGACCCCUGUAGUCCAAGCCGUAAACGCUCCUUGCUAGUUGCUCGUCCCGCCGAAUACAUAUUGUGUAUUGGGCGGGAUGAGUGACGUAAGCUAACGCGUUAAGCAAGGCGCCUGGGGAGUACGACCGCAAGGUUAAAACUCAAAGGAAUUGACGGGGGAGCGCACAACCGGUGGAGCAUGUGGUUUAAUUCGAUACAAAGCGAAAAACCUUACCCAGGAUUGACAUGUACCUGCACGGCCUAUGAAAGUAGGCUUUCUUCGAGAGUGGUACACAGGUGAUGCAUGGCUGUCGUCAGCUCGUGUCGUGAGACGUCCACUUAAGUGUGGUAACGAGCGCAACCCUUGUCGUAUGCUAUACGUGUCAUACGAGACUGCCUGUGCAAUGCACGGGAGGAAGGAGAGGACGAUGUCAAGUCAGCAUGUCCCUUACACCUGGGGCUACACACAUCCUACAAUGGAGCCGACAACAGGUAGCGACGGGGUGACCCCGAGCCAACCCUCAAACGGCCCCUCAGUUCGGAUUGGAGGCUGCAAUUCGCCUCCAUGAAGCCGGAAUCGGUAGUAAUCGCAAAUCAGCAGGUUGCGGUGAAUACGUUCUCGCUCCU
rnacentral:rRNA from 1 species